rnacentral:tRNA from 1 species
UAGCUCAGAUGGUAAAGUGUCUGCCUGCAAUGCAGGAGACCUGGGUUCGAUCCCUG